GUUAGCCUCUGAGCGCUCACAUCUUAUGUCUCCCUGCCGCACGGAAGGUCUGUGAAGAUAUCCACUACUAGGACGGCUGCAGGCAACUUCUUCCUGAAGCCAGUUGAGGUCCGGAGCACCACUACCUUCAGGAUGUGCACAAGAACAUCAAUCAAUACAGAUUACAGACUCAUCAGUAUUAGACCCUUACAGUGUUCACAACAUGAGAUUGUUGGAGAUCAAUCAAGGAAUGGAAUUUUGGCAUCCAGGUUAAAUGCCUUCUGUCAGCGCUCAGUAAGUAGAAGCACCCUCAGGUGGAUGAAAGAUGAGACAACCAUUGAGUGCACCACAUUUCAACUCUUCACGUCAAAGGGAGAGCAGAAAGUUUUGAAGACUCUGGGAUGAAUGAGCUUCCUGUGAAAUCGUGCUACAUGUCCUCCACAUUUCUGGAAAGUGUGAAUGUCACACAGAAUUACAUGUCCCAGAUGUCAACUUUCUUUUAAUGUUUACAGGCUAAGGGAAGGAAUUUCAGUAAAACAAUUCCCAAGGCAGAGAUGUUUUGUUUUCAUUUUGUCUCUGUUACAAAAAGCAGAAAAGAGCUGUCCACCUACAAUCCAUGAUGGAGUGUGUACUGCAUUCUACGUAAACACUAUACAAUGGUUACAAUUAUUUUAAAAUCAUUUGGAUGACCAAUGUUUACUAUAAAAGGCAUUCACAUUUUGCAAUGUCCAAUGAUAUAUCUUUAAGUGAAUGUAUAUAACAUAUUUAUAAAACAUGUAUAAGUGACAACAUUGUAUAUACAGUUGCAAGAAAAAGUAUGUGAACCCUUUGGAAUUAUAUGGAUUUCUGCACAAAU